rnacentral:ncRNA from 3 species
CAGUGCAAUGGUAUUGUCAAAGC